rfam:Pseudomonadales bacterium RIFCSPHIGHO2_02_FTLL_60_43 rifcsphigho2_02_scaffold_3011, whole genome shotgun sequence.
GCGCGCGUCCUAGGGGAGUAGUCUCCCGCGAGCGCCAGCUUGCCCGGCACGCGUCAACAUACUUGCUCAGCAGAGCAUGGCGCGUGCGACCCGAGGCCCACCCAGUGGGGCCUGCGGUUUGACAAGACCUAU